rnacentral:lncRNA from 1 species
GGCAAGGUGGAGGGAGCGGCCGCUGACCUCGGACUAAUUAAGUGUGUGGCCUCAGGCACCUCGCUCAAGUCUCUCUAGGCCUCAGCUCCCUCCUCAGAAUGACCUCUGAUCCUUUCCAGCCUGACGAGCUCUUUGAUUCUAAGCAUUUUACAACUAAUUGCUUGUCUUCGAAAAUCAAAAUUUCAGCUGCCGAGCACCAGCUCCCCUCCCCAGGGACUUCUCAGGCUUAAAGGGCACCUCCAGAAUGCGUGGCCCUCCACAGCGGGGAGCUGCUGACUGCCACGGUGAAUCGACUUACAGCCAACUUGCAGAUGCCUCCAUUCAUCCCCAGAGAGGACUUGGGGCUACGCUGGCACCAUCCCACGUUUGCAAGCUCUGACCUGAGGGCCUACUGUGGGUCUGCCCCUGGCCCCUUCAUGGACAAGCCUGGCUCAGCAGGCAGUGCCUUGUCUCCGCCUUUUCCGGCCACCCACGCAUCAUGGCCAUAUCACUUUCUGCCAGGACCCCUGCAUCCACAUGAGGUUUCCACCGUCCUCUCUCAUAGGGAAGGCCCUGCCAUCCAGAUCUCAAUGCCUGGAGCUCGACUCUCGUAGUCCUCAUUACGCGUGGCAUCUGUUGGUGCAACUCGUGUGCCGUCGUUUGGGGGUCCUCACACCCUUCUCCAAGCAGGCCAGAGCGUAGUGGGGAGCUCUGCCCCAAGCAAAUAGGGGAAUCCAGCCUUAGACUGACACAGGGCUGCUGUUGGGCAAAGAAGAAAACAAGGCCCUAAAGCUCUUGGCCCCCGUGUCAGAUGUUUCCCAUUGGUCCAGCCUCACAAAGCUGCAUUGUGAUUGUGAGACAAUUGGACUAGUUGUGAAAGCAUGCCCCCUC